CAAUAGCGUAUAUUAAAGUUGUUGCAGUUAAAAAGCUCGUAGUUGGAUUUCUGUUGAAGACGGCCGGUCUGCCUUCGGGUUAGUACCAGGCACGGCUUUGGCAUCCGCCUGGUAUGCUGGCUUGGCAAUUCACUUUGUCGGGUCAUGUAUCAGGCACUUUACUUUGAGAAAAUUAGAGUGUUUCAAGCAGGCUUCUGCCUUGAAUACAUUAGCAUGGAAUAAUAAGAUAGGACUUGGGUUCUAUUUUGUUGGUUCUAGAGCCUGAGUAAUGAUUAAUAGGGAUAGUUGGGGGCAUUCGUAUUUAACUGUCAGAGGUGAAAUUCUUGGAUUUGUUAAAGACGAACUACUGCGAAAGCAUUUGCCAAAAAUGUUUNCAUUAA
rnacentral:rRNA from 1 species